UUUUUUUUUUUUGGUACCGAAAUCUGUCCUCCUCUUCAUUCUUCUGCCCCGUUCAGCUCGACGAUCGUUGAAUCUUCCACUUCCGGAACACUAUCUCAAUUUCGAUCUCUCACCUUCUCUUCCUGAUACGGGAGUUCCAUUUGAUUUCGUUUUUGGAGCUCGACUGAUUCUGUUGUGGCGUGGAAGGAAUUUAGGUGUUUACUCCUUCCGAUAAUGGAUUCCAGCAGGAGAGCGGUUGAGUCGUACUGGAGAUCCAGGAUGAUCGACGGGGCGACUUCUGACGAAGAUAAGGUUGCUCCCGUCUACAAAUUGGAAGAGAUUUGUGAUCUCUUGCGCUCUUCUCAUGUUAGUAUCGUCAAGGAGGUGUCCGAUUUCAUUUUGAAGAGGCUCGAUCAUAAGAGUCCCGUUGUUAAACAGAAGGUAUUACUCAGCUCUUAGUCUUUUUUCAUUCAAUUUGGGAGAGAAUUGUUGGUUCUAGGUUUUUCUGAUAAUUCAGUUCCCUGUUUUGACAUUAGAAAGCCAUGUGACCGUUGUUUCGUUUUGCGCGAUUGAACGUGUCUGCUCUGUAAUUGAAUUGAACUUCUAGAAAUUACAUGUUCAUUGAUUGCACAACUUAUGAUUGGGAAAUGGGCAGGCUCUCAGAUUAAUAAAAUAUGCUGUGGGAAAGUCUGGAGCGGAGUUCAGGAGGGAAAUGCAAAGACAUUCUGUGGCUGUACGUCAGUUACUUCACUACAGAGGGCAGCCGGAUCCUUUGAAGGGAGAUGCCCUGAAUAAGGCCGUGAGAGAUACAGCUCAGGAUGCUAUUUCUGCAAUUUUUUCCGAGGAGAACAGUAAGCCAGCACCAGCACAACUCACUAAGCGUAUGGAAGGAUUUGGAAACACGAAUUUUGAAAUGCGAUCUGAAGAUAAGAAGUCCUUUGACUCCUUUCUUAGUGAGGUAGUUGACAUAGGAAGUGCAACUAUCAAGCAGGGACUUAGUAGCUUGACUCAAGGGAAUCCGCAAAGAAUGAAUGAUCCUGGGAACUACAGAAGCCCAAAUCUUCACCGGUCAUUGACUGAUGACCGUGAUAGUUCAGAUAGAUAUGAGCCAGUACAGUUGCGUAAUGACAACCAUGGAAGUUUUGGGGGUUCAAGAGCUUCGACUGGAGGAUCAUGGGGCCAGGAUUUAAGAUCAGCAAAUGCUACAAUAGAAAAUGGGAACUCUAGUUCCAGCAAUGCGGGGAGCAAGACUCGAGAGGAAAGGUUGCUAGAGACCAUUGUGACGUCGGGUGGUGUACGAUUACAACCUACCAGAGAUGCAAUUCAUGUUUUUCUAGUGGAAGCAGCAAAACUGGAUGCAUUGGCUUUGAGUCGAGUCCUUGAAUCCAAGCUCAAAUCUCCUUCAUGGCAGGCAUGAUUUCUUGCCUUACACAUCCUCGUUCAUAUGAUGUUUUUGUGAUCAUAGUUUUUUGUUCUCUGGAUAUUGUGUUAGAAUUUUUCAGUUGAUGUGCUUGUAUACAAUUGCUUCUUCUUUCUGUCGAAGGUGAAUAUCUCAUAUGGUCUACCUGUUCAUAUCCUCUAUUUUGGAUGCUUCACAUAUUCCCAGGUUCGCAUGAAAGCAGUUUGUGUGCUUGAGUCAGUUCUAAGAAAAAAGGAUGACGAGAAGUUUUCAAUUAUAGCUUCUUACUUCGAUGACAAUAUAGAAGCAGUGGAGAGAUGCUCUGAGUCUCCUCAAAGUUCUCUCAGUGAAAAGGCUAGGAAGGUAACUAUAAUGUAAUAAUGAACCUACUUUCUUAUGGCUGCUCUUGCAUUUUACCCAAGGCCGGAAGUAUGAGGAAUCUUAUAUCUUGACAUGCUAUGUUUGCUAGUCGCUACACACUUGUACCAUAUAGCAGAUCUGCCAUCCGACUUCGGCUGUUAAGUAAUAUAAUUCAUUUUGGAAUUGGUUCUAUAGAAUCGGAUGGCAUUUUACUACUAGUGGAGAGAUAUAUUAAUUAUUGCUCGAGGGAUAUUGUCGCUGUGAAGUUUAAUGUAAUGGAUUGGCAGAUGCUGUUUGUUAGAGACAGAAAUGAUUAGUUAAGCGGUUCUUUUUUUGUGAGAUGUUUGAAGAAGCUUCUCUUGAAUUGAAAUAACUAUCAUCACUUUUGUUUAUACUACAAAAAUGGCCUUCUAAUUUUCGCCCAUGUGAAAUUAAGUUAUGCCCAAGGAACUGAAUCCUAACGUUCAUAUAUAGGGCUUGAAAAGAUGUUUUGGUCCCAGAAUUCAUAUUAAGCCAUGUGAAUUGUUGCCUAUGGACAGGUAUUGAGCCUUUUGGAUGGUGGAAAGGCAGGUGGCAUUGCAAGUAACUCAGGGAAGUCAGUGACUGCUGUUUCUCCCGUUCAGAUUCCUGACUUAAUAGACACAAGGGAGUCGGAUGAUUUCUUGAAAGCAGAUGAUCCUACUGAAAUGUUAAAUGAUCAAGGGAUAUCAAAUGUUCCAGCAGCUUCUCCUUUCACUCACGAUUUACUGGGAGAGAGUUUGGGUUCCGGUGAGAACUCUACAGAACAAAAGAAUGAGGAUGACCCUUUUGCUGAUGUCUCGUUUCACUCGGGAGAGUCAACCGCACAAGCUUCUGAUCUCUUUUCCGGAAUGAACUUUGACCAAAAACAAAGUUCGGAUGAAAAUCAAGUAGCUGCAAACGGACCUGAGAUAUUUGAUAUAUUUGGAUCCGGUAGCACUCUGAAAAGCAGUCAAGAAAAACCAGCAGUUAAUGAUUUACUUGCUGGUAUGUCCAUUAGUGAAGGUGUGAAGCAGCAAGUGAGCUCACCAUCUAUUCAAUUUGAAGGUACAACCUCAGACCUCAGCCAACAAGUCUCGAACGAUGGUUUGAAAAACAUGGUAGGGGGAUCGCAGCUGGGCAUGAUGAAUGGAAGUAGUAUGUAUCCUUCUUCUGCAAUGCAGUAUGGUAUGCCUCCUGGCAUGAUGUUGAAUCCUGCUUUGGCUGGUCAAUCAAUACCGCUAAAUUACGGUGCUAUGGGAGGGUUCCUUACUCAGCAGCAACUUCUUGCUGCAAUGUCCAACUUCCAACAGUUGAGCAAUUUGAAUGCCCAGAAUUAUAGCCAGGGUAAUGCUAGUCAAGCAAACGGGAGCAGUUCAGCACUUCCUGACAUAUUCCAUCCGAGCUUUCCUAAUCAAAGUCCUACAUCGAUGAUGAGCAGCUCAAAGAAAGAAGAGAGCAAAGCAUUUGAUUUCAUCUCAGUGAGCUCCAAUCUUAAGACCCUGAAUUCUUUUGCGCCUCCGUUGUAAGAUGACGUAAGUUUCUGAAUCCACAUAUCGUAACUAGUGGGUGUUGUAACUUGUAAUGCAGGAGCAUGUUGCAGCGGCGCGUGAUCCAAGAAGAGUUUCGUAAGGAAGAGGGAUUCCCCUGGAACUGUGGAUUUAAAUGAAGUAGGUCGAGGAAGAAGUUUUCAAUUGGUGGCAUGACUGGAUGGGAGAAGAGGUGGUGCGGAGUGUGGACUGUCAGCAAAGCACAUAUUAGAAGAACAUAUUGUAUCGUUACGUACUGUGAUCGCUGUUGUGGUGUGUUUUUGCUUUUGGUUCUUGUUUUGUUUUUCCAGGAGUCGUAUUCUUAUGCUUUCUACCCAUUAAAUGUCUUCCUUUUUCUUUUGUCUCUUUUUGCAUAAAGUUAUAAUGUGGAAGAAACAAUCACCAACAUUUUUGUUCGUCAGUCGGGAUAUGAAUUGAAUAUUUGAGGUGGGUUGGUUACUUGAGCUUCCAGCAAGAGAUGUUCAUCACAAUCCUUCAAUGUGUAUGCUAUGUUUGAUCAACCCAAGUGUAUGAAUUUUCUUUCGUUUUUUACAAGUCGAUUGAAUCCGAAAGAAAAGAAACAAUUUAAACAAAAGACUACGAAUUAAAUGCAAAAUCAAUGGACAGACUGCAGAAACACUGUCAAAACUCUGAUUUCCAGUCAUCUCACUUCCACCUGAGUGUAAGGAUUACUUGCCAUUCAGACGCUGCUGCUUAUCAUUUUCUUCUGAAGAAGCUUCCCUCUCAUUCUCUUUUGCAGCGAACCCAAGUUCAGACAUCUCCUGCUUUGCCAUCAAGUUCCUGCGUCAACCCCAACUCACAGAUUGAAUAUCAAAAUCAUUCCUUCUACAUCGACUCAAUCCACCAAAUUCGGAACAUUCAUUCUUUUCUGAUUCCUCUCACUAACCACUUAUUAUCUAUUGUGAACUACGACCAUGCAGCCUACUUUGGUUUUUAAGGCCAAACCAAGAAACAACGGAGGUUGUACUCUUCUACAUUAACAAACAAGUUAGCAUAAUGCAAUCAACCCAAUCCAUUUGUCGCGAAUGCUUCAUAUUUUCAUUCCUUAUCCUCCUGAGGACUGACAUACCUUGGCUAUCCCCAGAUAUAAGCUAUUAGAUUAUUCAGUUCUACAUAACUUUGAUGCACAUGAUUACCUUUCCCGACAAAUUCUAGAUUCCACUACUUCACUACAGGUUCUACCCGGAUUUAUGUUUCACCUACUUCUCCUACAGCGUAGUUUUACUUCUUCCAUUUUGUUCUUCUCUAAGUUAACCUUUUCUCCAUCAUUUUCCAAACCAAAUGUAAACAAACAUCAUCUUCCCAGCUCCUACUUUCAUUGGGGAAACAACAUUGGGGCACCACAAUUCUAUACUCACUUACUGACAUGUAUCUAAAUAGAAGAUACUAAUCUUCUCUUAUUGGACGGACCAGCAUAAUAGUGUAAGAAGUAAAAUUCUUCUCAACUUUAGAGAACAAAGGCAGAGGUAGAUAAGGGUCACUCACUUUUCCAUUCGACACUCGAGGUACUUUCUUGAAAACUGCCUGCAUUUUUCUGAUAGGUGACCAGCAGAUUUUAGACAGCUGAGGUAGUCUUUCUUUUCCUGAAACACCAGAAAUCGUACUUAGCUCAAAAUGAAUUGAAAUGUCUACCUGAUGAAAACACAAAAUUCAAAAGCAGCAGCACCAGGUCACAUUCAUGCAAAUGGUCCAAAGGAAAGAUUCCUUUCUCUGGUGGCACUGGCCUCACCCCUCUAUUUCCACCAAAUGCACCACCUGUUGUAACAGAAUUUUCAUCUUCGUUUAGCAUUAUGCAAGGGAUUUGAGAAAGGAUCUUCACCAGUUUAGUACAGGUAUGAAUCAACCAUUUAUCAAAAGAGCACAUUUCAGGGAGCACAAAGGAACUGUCAGUACAUUACUAUGGCAAUGCCACAAGAAUUUGAAUUUGAAUUUGAAAAUUUUCUCUAAGAGAUACGCCAAAUCAGAAAACCGUGCUACUGAUUCGACCAAGUUUGAAGCAAAAAUUGGAUGCUCCAGUUCGGUGCAAACAAUUACACAAUUCAAAACGAAGAACAUCAAAUUAGAUAUCACUCACCAAUUUGAGGCAAGAAAGCAUGAUAAAUUUAACAAAAAAUUGAUGUCUGUAGAAGAUAACUAAUUUAGCAGGAGCAGAGAACCCCAUUGAAGAGAGAAAGAAAUAGAACCUGUACUCAUUACAAGAAAUACUUGAGAGCUGAACACGGCAAGAAAUAAUGGAUUCUGAGGAUGAAGGACGACAGAUGGUGCAAGUUGAUAAGGAGAGCUACGAAGGAAAGCUUGAACAAGAAGAAAAGGUUGAACAAGAAGAAAAGGUUGAACAAGAAGAUAAGGAGAGCUACGAAGGCAUUCCUCCGCCCCAAUUUCCGACGGUAAGCGACUAGGGAUCUGAGCGGAAACAAGUCUGAAUCGAGAUAGUGGUGAAGGGUCGAUGUUAUUAGGGAAGCGAAGCAGCGAGAUAUCUGGACGGAGAUAUGAAUAGAGACGGCGGAACUGAAAGUGACGGCGCCGGUGGUGCAGGAAGAUGGCGGUAUAGUGAAGGACAGACUUGGGAAGAAAGGCCAUACGGUGGCAGAACUGAAAAACUGAAAUGAAAAUAAAAAUUAAUGUUGUUGAAACCCUUCAGCUAUACAUCAUUAUCAAGCAGGUCCCUACACUAUGAUUAUUAACUUUUUGAACCUCCAAAUAAUAAUGAAUUAGCUAAGAUAAAAUACAAACAGCCGCAAAUAUUUCAAAGGGAGUACUAUUCGUCGCCCUAACUUCUACAAAUAAAUUGCCUUUAACAUUUCAAUUGACCAAAAUGGCUAUUUGAAAACAAUGUCGUCGCCGUUUGUCGUAAAAGAUCGAACUUAAUCCAGUAAAUCUAGUCAUAUAAGAUCAAUAUAGACUCUUCCCGUUCGACUCUUCGUGAAGACUUUCACGUGAACACCAAUCUCUACCGAUCGAAAUAUUACAAGUGACACAUAUAUGAUUGAUAUAUGCGUUGCUUUUGAUAGCUCUAGCUUCAUUUUACAAAAAGGAAGGAAACAACUAUCUUCCAACGGUAAGAGUUACUGCUGGGUUUACUAACUUUCUACAUACGAAAUGUUUGUAGCUCCAGGUUGACUUCACAAGAUCAGAGGCUAUCUCCACUUGGUAACGUAACGUCAUUACUUGCUCAAUUUCAGCGUUCAGCAUUAAUCUGGAUUAACUAUCGUGCCUUCGGUUUCUUCUUCACAGGCUCGGAUCUGCUGCCUGUUACAAAAACACAAUGAAGCAGCUUAUCCAUGAAUCAACCAGAAAGCGAAUGGAAUUUUUUUAACUAGCUGUUAGACAAACCUCUAGAUCUGGCCUUUCCUGUUGAAUCAAGCUCUUCAAGAAUCCCAAUAACUUUUCGAUCCUGAAAAAAUUACUCAUUUGACAGAAAACACAAACGAACUUGGUAAAGGAGCAAACACCAGAUGAAAGGUUUUAUUCACCCUAAAAGCAUGUUAUAGGUAAAGGAGUGUCAAAUGAAAUGCAAAUGAGGUUGGUUAGGUAUUAGGAUAGCGGACGAACCCCAUCAUAAACUGGUGAUUGGUUGCGCCAGAAUUCUAAGGUAGGCAUGAGCAGUCUCCCUGCAAAUGCAUCGUCAAAAGAAUGAAAUGGUUAACCAACUGAAGCACCCAAACCAGCAUUGAUAAUAAACUACUAAUAACGAACUUAGCCAAAAGAGCAUGUUAAAAUACAGAGAAACAGAGAUAAAGGGGAAUAUCAGCUGCAAAAUGCGAAUGACAACAACGAUCAUCACUUCACUUGAGCAGAUUCAUUUUCUACCAAGAUGGCAUGACAAAACCUUAGCUUUUAGUCUGAAUUUACACACAGAUAGGCCAAGCAUAUUGAAGUCAAAAGGGUACUCGACAGCAAACAGAUGGAUAAAACAGCCACCUGAUCUCGAUCUUUUAAGAUUCAAGGAUUCCGGAGAACGGAGACAAGAACGUGUCUUUCCUUCUGCUGUGUUUGGACUAACCUACAUAGAGCAACCAGAUGGAACAUUACACGGUGAAUGGGGCACAGCAAUAUAACAAAUUACUGAUUUAACUUCACAUCAAUGAGUUCCAACCAGCACCGGAAGCAAUAUGUUUAGUGGACAGCAACCCUUCAUGCAAACGAGGAGCAAUCACCAAUCAGCAAAACUAUAACAAACCACCAACAAACUUCUUAUAUCAACUUACUGGGGUUUCAAAAUGAAUUCUUUUUUUAGCUUUCUUUACACCAGAACCUCCAUCUGUAUUGUUGAUUAUGUUUGCAGUCUCUGAUGUUUUGUUGGUCCUUCUUGAUCUACUCACUUUUGUUUGCUGCCCAGCUCCAUCUUUCUUCCCUUCGUCAUGCACCAUGGUGGAUUCCGAACGUAACUUUUUGUUUCGCGUCACUGUAGAUCCUGCUGCAGUAUUUUGGUCAAAUUUUGACACAUUCAGGUGACCCAUAUCCCGUUCAUUAAUUGUCGAUAAGGGGGGAGUUUGAUGCACAGCUCCAUCUAGUUUCCCUUCAUCAAGAGGCUUUGUGGAUUUUGAUGCUAACUUCUUGUUUCCCUUCACUUUAGACCGAGAUGCACUCUUUUGGUUAGAUUUUGAUACAUUCAGAUUAACCACAUUGUCUCUUCCAUUAUCAAUGACUUCUUCCAAGGAACAAAGGUUGAGGGCUGGAACUCCAUUGACAGAAGGAAACUUGCUGUUUGACUUCCAGAUGACAGGAGUUUGAUUCACAGCUUCAUCUAGUUUCCCUUCAUCAAGCGGUUUGGUGGAUUCUGACGCUAACUUCUUGGUUUUCUUCACUUUAGACCGAGAUGCAGUCCUUUGGUUAGACUUUGAUACAUUCAGAUGACCCACAUGGUCUCUCCCAUUACCAAUAACUUCUUCCGAGGAACAAAGGUUGAGGGCUGCAACUCCAUUGACAGAAGAAAUCUUGAUGUUUGACUUCCUGGGAGGAGUUUGAUGCACAGUUCCAUCUAGUUUCCCUUCAUCAAGCAGCUUGGUCGAUUUAGACGCUGACUUCUUGUUUCGCUUAACUUGAGACCUCUUUUGGUUAGAUGUCGAUAAAUAUAAAUGAACCACAUUGUCUUUUCCAUUACCAAUGACUUCUUCCAAGGAACAACGGUUGAGGGCUGCAACUUCAUUGACAGAAGGAACGUUGCUGUUUGACUUCCUGAUGGGAAGAGUUUGAUGCACAGUUUCAUCUAGUUUCCCUUCAUCAAGCGGCUUGGUCAAUUCUGCCGCUAACUUCUUGUUUUUCUUUACUUGAGACCGAGUCUUUUGGUUAGAUGUCGAUACAUUCAGCUGAACCACAUUGUCUCUUCCAUCACCAAUGAUUUUUUCUGAGGAACAAUAGUUGAGGGCUACAACCCCAUUGACAGAAGGAACCUUACUGUUGGAAUUCCAGGUCGGCCUCUUCUCACCUGCUGUGUUAGUUUCUAAGUUCCCGGUUCUUACAGGAGAAUCAACAAUAUAGCUUGUAUUUGCUCUUCCGUCUGCUGCCACAUCCUGAAGGGAACUAGCAGAUGUUGUGUGAAAACUUGGUGAAGAUGGAAAAUCCCUUGAGCCAUCAUGAGAGACACCCUCAUAGAAUUCAACAGCAUUUAAGCUUGUGUGGCCUUCAUUUCCUUCUUCUGGAAGCUUUAAAGGACCUUGAGGUGAGGAAUCGUCUUCCACGUUCACUUCUUCGCAGGCAGAACUUCCAACAUCAGACAAGUCUUUUUCAGCAAGUGGAUUAGAUACUGCAGCAGUAGAUUCUAUACCUGCAAAUUAACCAAAAUUCAAGAGCUAAAAUAACCUUUAGUUACAUCUUCUAAAACACCAGAUCCAGAUUUCAGUGAACCCUACCAAUCUUAUGAAUUGUGUCUGCAUAUGUUUUCACCCGAUCAGCUUCACUGUUAGCUGCAACUUCACACCACCUCUUUUCACAUUGUUUCCAGUAAAAAGGAAAUCCCAAGACGAAAUGAUCAAAGAUCUGCCAAGAGUGAGAGCAAAAAAAGCAUUCAAAAGGGAAAUCAAAGUUCAAACCUAAAACCCCAUAAAUCGGCCAUCAUCAAACUUGUUACAAUUCCAUGGCCAUAUAAUUACCUCAUAAUUACAAUACAACUAACAAUACCUCAGGAGGGAAUCCGUUUUCAAGGGUGCGAGUCUUGUUUAUGUCACCAUUGAUGAGCACAGUAACAGCAUCAGAUGUCUCGAUUGUGAGGAUAUCGGGCCUUUUGAUCACCGGUGCCGAGUGAAAUACCCUCGGAAUUCUUUGGCUGCAGAGUGGAAAAUAAGCGAAAACCACAGAGGAGAGAAGGGAGGAAACAAGAGGAUGAAAGAAAUAAGGGUUUUACUCGCUGGGAAUGUAUCCUGCAACUCCAAGACUCUUUCCAUUGCAAUUGUUGUCGGAUUUGAUCAGCCACCAUUCUUCCAACGUCACCUUUCAAAGAAGGAACAGAAAAACCAAGGAGUAUCGUAUGUCAGAUGGCUAAGAGCACUUGACGGCGUAGAAUCAGGGUUUCAUAGGCUCUUAACUGUGUUCUCGAAGUGAGACGAUAAGCCACUGGUGGAGGUGUUGCGACGGUUGAGAGGAGAAGCAUCCAUGGAAACUUGGGGAUCGACCAUCGACGACCGAUUGAAGUGGAACUUGAGGCGACGACCGACGGGGAGCCUUUUUAUUUUCCGUUAUCAAAUUUCCUUUUAUUUCUCUACGGGCGGAUAUUUGGCGCUCGAAAUGCGACGCCCGGCCGUAAUCAACGGUGUGAAUCACGUUUAUCUUCUUUUCUUUUGGUGUAUUUGUCAUUUUGAAUAAUUAAUUUGUCUUAAAAACAACACUUUAACCUAUUCCAUAUUAGAAAAAUUACAAAACUUUACAUAAGACGAAUGACCAAACCAAUCAUUACAAAGCAAGUUAAGAACAACACUCUGUAUAAGAGAAAAUAAAUAUUAUAGUAAUGUCCAUUUUAUAAAAAUUUGUAUUAUUAAUUUAUAAUAAAAUUGUGCUAUUUGACUCGAUCAAAAUAAUAUAUCUAUUAUUAUAAGCAUGUCUCUAGCCAAACUCCUAAACUUAUAAAACAUGAGCUUUGAAACACCCCAACUCCCAACUAGAUAAACUUACAAAUAUAUGAAUUGCUAAAUUUUGGGGCAAAAUUGUAUUUAUGGUUAUAUGUUAUUAUUGGUACUACAAAUUUACUUACCGUAAAUACAUCUAAAUUUUGUAGAGUUAUGUCAUUAGACAUUUUGAAAAUAGUUUUGAAAUUCCCCCGACAAAGCUCUGUGUAAUGGUUUCAAAAUCAAAUUUUGUACUAAUCAUUCACUAAUCUUUAAAGAAAUACUUAUCUCAUCCACAAUCCUUAUUGAAAUUUAAACUCAAAAUUUUCGUAUUGAAUUAUCAUAAAAUAAUAUUAAAAAAAUUAUAAAUCUGUUAAUAUUUAGCAAAUUUUUUAUAGUUGAAAUAAUUAUAAAUUUCGAAAGAACUAAAAUUAAAUAUUAAAAUCUCAUUCUGCAUGAAGGCAAACGAACGGAUGAACAUACACAUACACUCUCCGCCGUUGAAUACAAAACAUAUGAAGACAAACAUGAAGACAAAAGUAGCAUCGUUUCUGGCUUCUUCUUGGAAUAUGUCACAAUCAGUCUGACUCAGAAAUUGGGUUGAAAAGAAAGAGAGUUGUCUACUUUAUAAUCACCAGUAAGCAACCAAAUUGCGUUGUGACAAAAUCUAAAACGUUUUCCAAAUCAGAACAGCGUGCAACCAAAUAAUUGGAGCUCCUCAUUCCUGGGACACCACCAACCUAUUACAAAAAUGCUAAUUAAACACACUAUUAUUAAUUAGUUCAUCAUAUUUUGUAUAGAGUUUUGAAAGUAGAGAAAAUAUGAGAACGGAGAAAAUAUAAAAGAGUGUUCUCACAAUAUAUAAAAUAGAGGCAAUUGAAAAUUUUAGGUUUUUGAAAUACACAAAUUUAACAUAAUUAAUCAUCAAACAAACAAGUAUAUAUCAGAAUAUACCAAAUUUCUCAAAAACACACACCAACUUUCCCCUAUAUCAAACGACCUCUACGCCAUAUUCAUGGGAAAUGGUUAAUUACUAAUCAAGAUUGAAUUUUUAAGUAGAGAUUGGGUUGCGCGAAUUACAAAUAAUUUGAUCCAUCGUAAUAGUCUAGCUCAUAAAUUAUUGUGGCGGGCCAACACCAAAAUAAAUAUCACAUCAUCUUAACUACCAAUUAUACUACACACGGAACCAAAAUGUUGGCCAUUAUCAUGUACAUAUUAUUGGGGAUUAUACUCAAAUUUUAGGCCAUAUUUAAUUUUGGUAUUUUGGAUAAAAUGGUUGUUUUUUUAAGAUUUCCUAUUUUUUAGAUAAAGCAAAAGUGAAACUUGUGCAUUUAAGUUUCAAAAUACCAAAAUCAAAACUCAACAAAAAAUAAUGAGUUUCGUGAUUUCUCAAAAUGUAAUUUGACUUUUUUUUUAACCCCUUGUUUUUCAUUGACUUUUUUUUUAACCCCUUGAUUUUCAUUAUCAACAUACCGACACCAUCACUUAUUAAUUGAAUUAACGGAUUUCCAACCUACACAAAAGCAUGGUACCAUUGUAAAAAUCAUAUCCAAUACCCGUGAAAAAAUUGGAGAAUUCAUCCGUAUAAGUUUUCAAACAUAAUCGAGAUUCCCAUCUCUAAACUUAAAAUGUUUUUUAAUUAUGAUUGUAAUAGAGAACCAUCAAAAACCAAAUAAAUAAACGAAUACGAUAUAAACUUUAUUAUUCUAAAAAUUAUAUAAAACUAAUAUCACUCGAAACUAAAACUAUAAUAAAUGAAGAACAAAUAUUAACUAUUUGCACCAAAAUUAAACCGUCCCCAAGCCCAAAUUGAAUGCUGAUGUUACAUUUGUCGGAAAACCUCUGCCCUGUGCUUGAAAGGAUUAGGUUACAAUGUUUUGGCCAAAAGAAAGAGAUUAGGUUGUAGAAAUUAGAAAUAAUUUGAGAAAAAAACUUAAUUAAAAAAAGAUAGUUAGGCAAAAGAAAAGAGUUGGUCGCGGCCUAUCCGGUCUGGUCAGGUUCAUACCACACGUGAGCAAAAAAUAAAUCAUUGGGGAAGAAAAUAAUAUAAUCCAAUUCUCCUCAACCCAAACCUUCAACAACACAACAAUAAUAACACACUUUUCUCCCUUCUUUGCCGCUUCUUCUUUCAGAUUAGAUCUCUUCUUCUUCUUCUUCUUCUUCUUAAUCGAAAAAUAUUUCUCUCGCGUCUUCUUGCGUGUUUCGAUAUUAAAUUCCCAAUUGUAGCUACCUGUCUUUGUUGUUAUAUUGCCUCUGGAGGGUUUCUUGAAUCCAAUGGAGAAGAAGGUGGUGGUCACAGUGGUCUGUGUCGCGGCCGUCGCCGGCGUUGUUGGCGCCGGACUGGUUCUCCGCAAGAAGAUGCAGAAAGACGGCAAAUGGGGGCGGGCGAUGGAGAUUGUCAAGGAGCUUGAAGAAAAAUGUAGCACCCCAACUGCCAAGCUCAAGCAGGUCGCAGAUGCCAUGGUCGUAGAGAUGCAUGCCGGUCUUGCCUCUGAAGGCGGAAGCAAGCUCAAGAUGCUUAUCAGCUACGUCGACAAUUUGCCCACCGGGUAUUAAUUCCCAAUUCCUUUUCUUUUUUAUUUUCCCCGAUUCCCCAAGAUCCGAUUUUUGAAUCUGAGAAUUUUCGUAGAUCCACCAAUGACUCGAUUCUUGAUUAUAUAGAUUCGUUGUUUUGGCUGAUGGUUCUUUUCGUAAGAACUGAUUAGAUGAGAAUAUCCGUUUGUGUUUCAAUGACGUGUUUUCAUUUAUAUAUAUAUAUAUAUACCAUGUUGCUCUUUCUCUUUUGAGUGAAGGAAAGACAUUUUACACAAACUUUACUGAUUCUCCUCAUUGUUGUUAUAAAAAAAUUUAGUUAAGAAGCUCGGUUGGUAGGUUAAUUUUGUGUUCUUGUUCUAGUGAUGAGUCAGGGCUGUAUUAUGCUUUGGAUCUUGGAGGAACAAAUUUCCGUGUGCUGAGGGUGCAUUUAGGUGGCCGAAAUGGUGGACUUGUUAAUCAGGAGUUUGCUGAGGUUCCGAUCCCUCCUGAAUUGAUGACUGGAGCUUCUGAUGUAAGUGUUGUUUUCAUAAUCAGCUCCUUCUUUAUAGUAUUAUGGCGUAUCAGGAUUUGGUAAUCAGUAAUCUGGUACAAUUGUUUCAGGCACUUUUCGAUUAUAUUGCAGCCGAGCUUACAAAAUUCGUUGCUGAAGAAGGCGAAGAGCAUGAGCUUCCACCGGGGAGAAAGCGAGAGUUAGGUUUUACGUUUUCGUUCCCCGUUAAUCAAACAUCCAUUGCUUCUGGGACUCUUGUUCGGUGGACAAAAGGGUUCUCGAUCGAUGAACUGGUUAGUCUUACUUUGUUGUGCUAUGUUUGUUCUCUGAUAUGUUUUAUCUAACACAAGCCGGAUUCCUGGACGAUAGGUUGGCCAAGAUGUUGUUACAGAAUUGACCAAAGCCAUGAAGAGGCAAAAUCUUGAAAUGCAUGUGUCAGCUCUGGUAAUUCUUCGCAUUCCUUACCUGUCUUAUUGUCUCAUAGCUGUGAUUUUGAUGUUGGUGGUCUUCCUGGUAGGUGAAUGAUACAGUGGGAACACUAGCUGGAGGGAGAUACACCAACAAAGAUGUUGAUGCUGCUGUUAUCUUGGGUACAGGAACAAAUGCUGCUUAUGUUGAGCGAGCUCAAGCAAUACCAAAAUGGCAUGGUGCACUACCUAAAUCAGGAGAAAUGGUUCGAAGACUUUUUUGAUGCUGUUGUAGGAGCAUGAUUGUUGAUAAAAGUAGAUUCCGUGAAUAUGUUGCUUUUGUCCGAAUGUAGGUUAUCAAUAUGGAGUGGGGCAAUUUUAAGUCGUCACAUCUUCCUAUUACUGAGUAUGAUAAUGCACUCGAUGUUGAGAGCUUAAACCCUGGUGAACAGGUAUUUAACAGUUGUCUUCUACUUACUGCCUUUCGUGUGUUAUGUGAUGUAUUAAUCAUGUAAUUUGUUAUGCAGAUUUUUGAGAAGAUUAUUUCUGGCAUGUAUUUGGGAGAAAUAGUACGCAGAGUUCUCCUAAAGAUGGCCGAAGAAGCUUCCUUUUUUGGUGAUACGGUGCCUUCGAAACUCAAAAUCCCUUUUGUGCUGAGGUAACUACUGUGGUCCAAACACUUCUUGAGAUUUCUUUUGAUAUUUCAACUUUGUUAUUAUAUUUACCCUGGUAACUAUCAUCAUCAUACAGGACGCCUGAUAUGUCAGCAAUGCACCACGACACAUCCGCAGAUCUCAAAGUUGUAGCAACUAAAUUGAAGGACAUUCUGGAGGUAUCUUCUACAAUCUGGUUUGGAUGUUUUUAUGGUCUGAGCACUAUAUGCUUCUGUCCCAAUUGUACUGUUGUGUGAUUUUAAAGAAACCCUGAUUUUGGGCCACAGUAAGUAUGCAACCGGCUUGCUUGUAUUGGCACAAGACUAUUAACAGAACUUCAUAAGAAAAGAGCUCAAGCAAUACCAAAAUGGCAUGGGGCACUACCUAAAUCAGGAGAAAUGGUUAGAAGAAUUUUCCAAUGCUGUUGUUUAUACAUGAUUGAUUGAUGAUAAAAGUAGAUUCCUUGAAUAUGUUGUUUUGUGCUAAUGUAGGUUAUCAAUAUGGAGUGGGGCAAUUUUAAGUCGUCACAUCUUCCUAUUACUGAGUAUGAUAAUGCACUCGAUGUUCAGAGCUUAAACCCUGGUGAACAGGUAAUUGAAAUUAUACUUACUGCUUACUGCUUUCAUGUGUUAUGUGAUCUGUUAAUCCUGUAAUUUGUUAUGCAGAUUUUUGAGAAGAUUAUUUCUGGCAUGUAUUUGGGAGAAAUAGUACGCAGAGUUCUCCUAAAGAUGGCCGAAGAAGCUUCCUUUUUUGGUGAUACAGUGCCUUCAAAACUCAAAAUCCCUUUUGUGCUGAGGUAACUACUGUGGUCCAAACACUUCUUGAGAUUUCUUUUGAUAUUUCAACUUUGUUAUUAUAUUUACCCUGGUAACUAUCAUCAUCAUACAGGACGCCUGAUAUGUCAGCAAUGCACCACGACACAUCCGCAGAUCUCAAAGUUGUAGCAACUAAAUUGAAGGACAUUCUGGAGGUAUCUUCUACAAUCUGGUCUCAAUGGUUGUAUGUUUUAAGCAUUUCCCACAUUCCAUCGUUUGAGCACUCUAUGCUUCUGUCCCAAUUUGGAUUGUUGUUAGGGGCACAACAUAAUGAACAGAAGUCCAUGAGAAACUGCAAUGCUUAUCUCCAGGCUUUAGUCGCUAUAAAAUUGUUCUGUUAUGUAAAUGUUUUGCAAUGUUCCUUGCAGAUACCGAAUACAUCGUUGAAAGCGAGAAAGGUGAUCGUUGAGGUAUGCAACAUAAUUGCGACGCGUGGAGCUCGUCUUGCUGCUGCUGGAGUGGUAGCCAUCUUGAGAAAGAUGGGGAAAGACACAAUGAAGGAAGGAGGAGAAGUAGGGAAAACGGUGGUGGCGAUGGAUGGUGGUUUGUAUGAGCACUACAAUGAGUAUAGCAAGUGCUUAGAGAUCACCCUUCCAGAAUUGGUAGGCGAGCAAGUAUCUAAAACCGUACAGAUCGUGCAUGCCAACGAUGGAUCGGGGAUUGGAGCCGCCCUGCUUGCUGCCUCACAUUCACAGUAUCUUUGAGCUGAAGACACCCAUCUCGAUCAGUUUUCUGCCUUCUUUUCUUGAGAAGACUCAUAAUGUUCGUUGGGAAAAAACUAAAUUCCUGGGUUUUAAACUUUGGUCUCUAAUUUGCAACUUUGAUAUUGUUCGAUUGGUGGUAUAUAGGAAUAUUUAGACAGCUGGUACUGAACUCUGCAGUGCUGGGAAGCGGUCAAGGAUUCCCCGCUUCAGGCUGCAUUGCCUCUGUUUGCAUCAUUUGCCAAUCUUCUUUGGUGAAAAUAAAGAAAAGGACAGAGGCCAUGAAAGAAAUAAAUAUCCGAGUUUGGCUACUUGUUUAUGACUGAGAGUCCUUCUUUAGUGACGAAUGAAAGAAUGAUAUCCUCCAAAUAAAAAUAAUAUACUUCCUCCUUCCAACCCAAUCUGACUGACCACUGCUACUUUAGCUAAAAAGAAAUGGAAUCCUCAUCCGCCACCACCACCACGCCGCUCCUCCGACGCGACCAGUGGUGGCUCCGGCAGCUCCGCCUUAAAACCACCCUAGCUUCCGAAAUCUCCGGAGCCGUCGGCGACUUAGGUACCUUCAUCCCGAUUGUACUAACCCUCACGCUCGUCUCCCACCUCGACCUCUCAACAACCCUAAUCUUCACCGCCCUCUACAACAUCCUCACCGGACUCCUCUUCGGCCUCCCCAUGCCCGUCCAGCCCAUGAAAUCCAUCGCCGCCGUCGCCGUUUCAGAGACCCCUCAUCUAACCACCUCUCAGAUCGCCGCCGCCGGCAUCUCCACUGCCACUACCCUCCUGUUCCUCGGAGCCACGGGUCUCAUGUCCCUCAUCUACCGCUACCUCCCUCUCCCAGUCGUCCGCGGCGUCCAGCUCUCUCAGGGACUCAGCUUCGCCUUCUCCGCAAUCAAGUACAUCCAAUUCAAUCAGGACUUCAUCUCUUCCAAAUCCACCACUCCCAGAUCCUGGCUCGGCCUCGACGGAAUCCUCCUCGCCCUCUCCGCCAUCCUCUUCCUCGUCCUCACCACCGGCUCCGGCGUCGAAACCACCUCCGAAUCGGACGAGACCACCCAAUCCCGCAGGAGACCUCUCGCAAGACGGCUUCGGAUAUUGUCUGCGAUCCCGGCGGCGCUGAUCGUGUUCUUGCUCGGAUUAGCCCUCUGCUUCAUCCGCGACCCUUCAAUUUUCGCUAACCUGAAAUUCGGGCCGUCCAGGAUCGGGGUGUUGACAAUCACGUGGGAGGAUUGGAAAAUCGGCUUCCUGAAAGGGGCGGUACCUCAGAUCCCUCUGUCAAUCCUGAACUCGGUAAUCGCAGUGUGUAAACUGUCGACAGACUUGUUUCCAGAUAGGGAACUAUCGGCGGCGAGGGUUUCUGUAUCGGUGGGGGUGAUGAAUCUGGUGGGUUGUUGGUUCGGAGCGAUGCCCGUUUGCCACGGCGCGGGAGGGUUGGCCGGGCAGUACAGGUUUGGGGCGAGGAGCGGGAUGUCGGUGGUGAUACUGGGGUUGGGAAAAUUGGUGGUUGGGUUGGUGUUCGGGAGCUCGUUCGUGAUGAUACUGAAUCAGUUUCCGAUUGGGAUUCUGGGAGUGCUGCUGCUGUUUGCUGGGAUAGAAUUGGCAAUGGCGUCCAAGGAUAUGAACAGCAAGGAGUCGUCGUUUGUGAUGCUGGUUUGUGCUGCGAUUUCGUUGACGGGGAGCAGUGCAGCUUUGGGUUUCGUUAGUGGGAUUGUGUUGUUUCUUUUGCUGAAACUAAGAAGGUCGGAGUGGGAUUUCUGGUCUGGUAAGGAUGAGGAUUUAUCUGGUGAAGACUCGUCGUGGACGUUCGUUGCUUAACAACUCUAUUUCAGUCUGUCUCACAUUCCAGUUUGGCUGUGGUUAGUACAGAGAAUGAAUCGCUGGAUACUGAAACGUAAAGAGUUCAAAUCUUGGGCUUCGGCCCUCUUGUAUGGGCUUCUGGGUGGCUGGGUCCUUAUCAAUUUGGGCCAUACAACUCAAUUAUAAAUAAAUAGAAACAGAACUGGAGCAGAGAAAACUCUGCAUUAUUUUAAUGAAGAAAUUUGUAGUAAAUAUAAGCCCUUAGUUUGGUCACUGUAAGUCUAAGCAUCUCUAAACCUCUAACCGUCCACAUCUCCAAACAUGCAAGAAGAAGAAGAAGAAGACUGUUGAAUCUCAUACAGUAUUAGUUAGGCAGUCCUCCUCCUCCUCCUCCUCAACUGUUGUUGUGUCCCAUACGAACCGAUCGACGGCUCUUCCCGACUUUUUAUUAUUAUUUAUGUUGGAUAGUUUGCAUUUGCACGAUAUGAUAUUACUUGGAAGACAAGGAUACACGUGGGUUCAAUUCAAUUCAAUGAACCUUAUCACAAGAACCCACCAACAACCCAACAUUCCUUUCACUUCCAUCAAUUUUACUAUAUUAUAAUAAUUUAUACAUGUGUUCAUUGAUCAAACCCCCACGUGCAUAUUUAUGCAUCAUGGUAUUCCUCUUUGCCGACACACACACAGAGGUAUAACACUAUACACUAGCCGCCAAGGAAAGCCUAAGUGCUCAUUUUAUUUCUACCCAAUGCAAUGAUGACUUGUUCAGAUUUCAAUUGUUUGUUUUAGAAGGCUCUAUAUUUCCAGUCCCACUUACUCACAUGCUAGAGAAGCUUUGAGCAUUUUUUAACCAAUUCCAAUCCUCAAUUCCUUCCCCCAAUCGACACCCAGAAGCAAUUUACAAUUUUUUAAAUUUUUUUUCAUACAAUCGACCCUAACCAAAAUAAGGUUCAAGCCUCCCCCACUCACGUAAGCAGGUGAAAAUGACAUUUCCAGAAGAAACUAAGCAGAAACUAGACAUAAACAUUAGAUAAAAAUAUUAUAUACUUUUGGAGCAUCAACAAGAUUUUUCAUUACAAAAGUAGCAGUAAUCAAAUAACAAGUAGGAAAAAGGAAACAAAACAAAAAACCACAGAUCCAAAGCCCCCCUGAUUGGGUUCUUUCUUCAACUCUACCUCUCAUAAAUAGUUAGUGAAGUGUUCUUCACGUCAAAGCAAACCCUCAGAAAAUCUCAUCAUGCAUUUCCAUUUCAUUUCAUCAUCUUUUCUUGCUUGUUACAUCCAACUGCACAAACAAACAAUCUGUUAUUAGUUACCCACCACAAACCAAGUUCAACCCUUUCAUUUCAAAGAAAUUGUAGCCGACAAAGAUCACUCACGGGUUAGACCAGAAACCUCAGAACUCUUCAGAACACGAAGCCUCUUCACCGUAGAUACAAACAUCCUGCAUCAUUAACAAAAUACUCAGUGUCCAAAUCCAAUGUUUAAAUAUAUGGGUUUAUGCAACUAAUUACUCAAUUCAAGGAAUCUUUGACAAGUUUAUUCCAGUGGUACUAAGCGACAAAUAGAAGCAUUUGUAUCAGCUUAAUCCGCAAGUUGAUGAUGAAUAAAACAUAUAAUAACAUGGGAAUGAACACAAAAGAUAAAAACCAAAAUUUCCCUGAUCAGAUCCAUGGGGUGAAUGAACAGAGAUGCUUACUGCCAUGGGACAUCUCCGACAAGCAUCCUGUCCCCUUCAUUAUCCUCAUAAACAAGAGUAUAUUCCCCACUCCCGUCAAAUAACCCUGUAAUUGCUCUCUCUUCCUCUUCUUGCUUCUUCACCAUUUCAUCGCAAUUGGGAUCUCUUUGAGCUAAAUGUAACAACAGAGAGAUAAAAGAGACAGAAAUCAGAUUUAACUGUGACCCUGUUUUGGCAUAACAUCUCUUUCUUUAUGCGAAUCUUGCAAGCUGAAUGAUCGAAUCUUGUCACGGAUUAUAGAUUAAACUAUGGAUGUCGCAUAAUAGAGCAGGACUACUAUUACAACCAGUUAAUAACAAAAUAAACGUUUUGUAACUCUGAUUAAUUUGGCUGUAUGCCACUAAAUUAGCAAAUUAGGCAGCAACUUGACACAUAUUACAACUAUCAAAAUCAACACCAUUUGAAUGUGAUGUGGAUCUUGUAGCUACAACAAUAAAGAAAUUGUACAAUAAACAAAUCCCCAUGACUGGUUUAAAGAGAAGACAAAACAAAAAGGUAAAGCAAGUGAAAUUAAGUCAAGGAUGGAACACUGACCUGCAAGAAGCCCUCUGAAAAGAUCACCAACAGCAACGGAGAGCCUUUGGUAGCUGUUAUAGGCUGUAAGGUCAACUUUCCUGCCUAUUGGGACACCAUCCAUAUUGAUCUUAACGAACAAUCCUUUCUUGCAUACUUGAACCGGUUUUUUAUCACUGCCAGCCUUCUUGUUCAGGUUUCCAUUUUUUGACUCAUCAACUGCUGGCUGCUGCUGCUUUGAAGAGCUGCUCCCGCUCGCCAGAUUCUUCCUAAAGGAACGAAUUGGAGGCCAACCCACCACUGGCCCAGGAGCAGUUCUGCAUUUAAAUUAUGACCAGGAGUCAACUUUUCAGACCCUAUGAAAAUGCUUUCAAAACCUAACAUCUUUCCUUUUCCCUAAACAGAAAAGGAGUAGUCUUUUUAUCAAGUUAUGCAUGUUAUAAGUUUAUUGGAGACAAAAUGAAGACAAAUCAUGUAUGUUUGUCAAGUUAUAGCAUACAAAUAAGUAGCAGCUACUGUAAUGUUGAGAUCUUCCCCAUUACGUUACCAAGUUUAUAAGAGGCAAUCAUUUAAUGAAAUGGAGCAAGGGCAUAAGAAGGUAAUAAUACUGAUGUAGAUAACAACAAAACGUUUCAUUGUUGGAAAGGACAAGACUAAAGCACAGAAAAGGAAGUGCUAGAGAAUAACCUUUUGAAAACUUGGUUUCAAACUUUUCUGUGAACCUUAGCAAAUAUAAAUGUAAAAAUAUUAUACCCCAGAGACGACAAAAGAACCACGAAGGAGAACCCACUGUAUUAACAAUAGAAAGAGAAAAGGAAAAGUGGUAAUAAGAGAAGUAAUAAUGAGACCACAAACAGCAGACUAGGAAAGUGAGUCAUGUGAGUGAAUAUCCUCUGUCAAAAAAAGUUAAGGAAACUUAUACGACGCAGAGGGAGGGAAGAGACAGAUAUAGAGAGAUGGAAAGAGAGAGGGAGAGGGUAAAAAAGCUGAGGCACCUUUUCUGAGAGGUGUUGGGGACAGCUGUAUUUGCAGGAGGAGGAGGUGAAAACGCCCUCUUUUCUGCAACACUCUGCUGCAAGUCUACUGCCCCUACUUUAGUGCAACAGGGCUGUGAGGAUUCCUUUGCCACAGUACCCAACAAGCUCUGCUGCUUGUCUGCUGCUGCUGUUUUUGUUGUUGGAAACUGAAGAAAGGAAGAUGGUGGAGCCUGCUGUUGAUUAAACCACACAGAGGAUGAUGAUGCUGCUGCUGGAGAACCUAUUUGUUGUUUCUCAUGAGAAGAAAAUUUGGUCGCUUGUUGAUGAUGGAGAUGGUGGUAAUGAUGAUUGUUGACAUAUCCCAGAGAGAGCAGGGACAACUCAUCUCUUCUUCUUUCCCUAUUUCUGGCACUGCUUGUUUUGUUUCCAAGGGACCAUUCAUUAUCAUCAUCAUCGCCAGGCAGACCAAGCCUUAGCUGGAGCUUCUUCUCCACUGGAGACAUCUCGCUGAAGACAUCUCUAAUACAUCUCCACUCUCUUUAUGACCAAUCCAUCCCCUCCUCUCUUUAGGAAUCAAAUCCAGCAACGUAGGAGGACAAGCUUCACCAUUGUUCGAUGAACAACCCUCCAUCAUAUAUCUGAUGGAAAACCCAACACUGGAAGAACAGAAAAAGACUAAACCCAGCAAAAAAAACAACAAAGAAAGUCGCUGCCUUUGACUUUGAAGCACUUGCACUGCAUCCCCACCACAAGCAACGGAAGAAGUUUUAAUCAGAUCAAUUUUUCAACUAACGUUCAUAUAAUAUAAUAAUACUCAGACAUAUCAUCAAACACCAUAUAGGCAUUAUAAAAAAACCCAUAAGAAGGAAGUAAAUAAAAAAAGAUGGGUACCUUUGGUUUCUUAACCAGCACUCAAGAACUUGUUGACCGCUACCAUAUAAUCUCUGGAAUAGAAAAAGACCAGUUCCAAGCUUGACAGAGAGAGCUGAAGAUCUGAACAAGUAGUAUAAGGAAGAAUGAAGGGGAAGAUGGUGAGAAUAAUAGGAGUUAAGAGGAGGAGGAGGGGAGUUUUGUAAUGUGUUGCUUUUGGCUUUUGGCAGGCUUAGUGGGUUUCUAUAUGUUCAUGCUUUUGGGUUGUGGUGGGACAAAGAGGGCACAUAUGAAUGGAAUGCGAGGAAUUGUUGAAGCAGGAAAAAAGAAGGGGAAUAGGGAGAUUCGUUUUAUUUAAGCUCAAGUGAAGAGAGAGGGAGAAAUGGAGGAACAAAAUGCACGCAACCCAGAAUCAGAACCAGUAGAGAAAAAGAAAAGAAAUAAAAUUUGUGGUUGUGUGGGUAGUUGGGGAUUGGUCUGCCCAAGCUAAGCUAUAAAGCUGUGAAGCAGCAGCAGCAGCUACGCUAUGCAAUGGCAAUGCUAAAUCUGUGUAGUGGUGGUGGGGGAUUUGUUUGUUCAGCUCAGGAAGCAAAGCGUGCUGUUGCUGACCCCUCUUCCUUUUUAAACACACAAAAAUUAACACAAACACUUUUUUUUUCUUUUCCAAAUAUCUUUUCCCCCUAUACUAUUCAAAAUUUACGAGUACAUCAUUCUACUAAUUUUUUUUAUCAAUUUAGUCGUCUAAACUUUGUUAAUUUUAACAAAUAUACCAGUUUGUUACAUUUUCAUCUGAAUCCCCAUUAAAUUUGUAAACGUCACAAAACAUGUAAGUUUUCAUGUCCACAUAAAUGUUGACUAGACUUUCCACUAAGUAAUCAAUGUGUUAAUUCCUAAAUUUGGUCUCUCCUCUUUUACUCUCUUCCCAUAAUCCAAAUCCCGAAUUGAAUCAUAACACCUCUACCCAUAAAGCUAUCAAAUCUCAAGCUCUAGAAUAUUUUCGCAAAACAUGGGCUGGAGAUUUUUUUUGUAAGAACCGGAAAACUCCCUGAGAAGUACAAAAAAACAGUUAUGGGUAGACUGAAACCAAUCAGACGUAACGGAAUCAAUCAUUUAGAAAUCUAUAAAAAUAAAAAUGGGUGCGAACUUCAAACUCACGUAGAAAUAGACAUACAGUGGUGAAUAAUAUGUAUGAUCAAUUUGGGACAAAUGGGCUGGGCCAGUAAAAAGUUUGGCGUAAUAGUAAUAUGGUGUGACUGAAAUGAUAUGAUAUCCAUUCUUUUGGAUGGAAUGCGACGUUGGAAUGUUUGACUGUCCAUCUGGAUUGCAUUGAGGUAAGAAUGUUUGACGGGAAACCUCGUGAAUGUUUUAGGUUCCAAUUUUAAUAAUUUGUUUCUUUCAUAUAUGGUAAUCAAGUGAUGAGGAAAUUUUGGAUUUCAACUUUUUAUGUGCUGAAACUUUACUUGGCCCAUAUAAUAACUGCUGAUUAUCAUCCACUAUCAUUCAUAUGUGUAUUUACUUGUUCCCUAAUCCAAAACCCAACAAAGAGUCUGUUUACCUCCAAUCUCACAACACAACACCAACCUUAAUCCAGUGGAAUAUUCUCAUAACCAAGUGGGCUAACUGAACCGACCCACGUGGGCGGUUCCCCCAACCACCACCCAAAUACUGAACUAACCAAACCCCAGAUCCUCUCCUGCCUUGUCGGCCGGUCUAGCAAACGAAACCCAUUAUCUUAUUCAUCGCCUGUUACCUGCACGCGCGCUUCUUGGGCAUUGCAAUUUGCUACUACCUGACUAUCGACUGACACGUGUUUACUGUAGUUCCGUUGGACUGAGUUUCCGCCUCUUGUUUCUUUGCGGCCACCGGUAAAUGGGCUUUUCGGCCUCCGACCAACCCAACAUGGUCCUACCAAGUCGGCGGGCGACCUAGCUAUGGAACGAUGAAGUGAAAUUGGCAAUCACCUUAUCCGAACAAAUCUACCACACAGCACUAGUUCAUUUCAGCAAUCUUCGAGCACUCUUAGUCCGUUACUCUAAUGUAACUCGUUGGUUGACAUCUCACAGUUCGUGCAUCAACCGACUCAAAGGUGACAAAGAUAGUUAUGUGGAUGGAACACAGAGUUACAAAGCUAGACUGAAGUGGACUGACUCAAUAACAAAAGGACUAACCCAUGUUUAUUCUGUAUGCAUCUUCUUCUGCAGAGGACAAAGCCAAUCACUUGACGAGGGAAGCUAGAACCCUUCGAGGCGGGUCGAAGGAUUUCCGGGCAUGAAGAACAGCCCAGUUAUCUAUAAGAAGAGCAUCACCUUUCUUCCAAGGGAUGACAACACUCGACUCUUCUAGGAUAUUCAAACAAUCGUAGACGAUGUCACCAGGCAAUGGCGUCCCAUCUCCAAAAGUAACAGCCUUCUUUGGGUCAUUCCUCUCGUCUUCCCACCCAGUGUAUGCAGCCACCAUACUGUUAAACCAUAUCUUCCGAUUACUCCUAGUCUUGUCCGUCUUCACUCCCGGAAUCGGUCCCAUUACCGUCUUCACCCCGUCAUCCUCCAACCAUUCCAGUUUCAUUCCUAGCCUUGCAGCCCUGCCACAUACAAAAACAUUACUUCCUAAACGCUCGUCAAACAGCCAUAUUCAUACUUUCUCCUCAUCUUAUUACUCUAUCAAUGCUGCAUGUAAUUUCAACCCAAUCCAGUAUUCUUCUAUCAGAACUAAUCUUGAGAUAGCUUGGAAAGAAAACGGGAUGGGGAGAAAUAAUAAACAAACCUUUCCUGGGCUACAGCUUUGUCAUUGGUUAAGAAAGUGGAUUUCCAGCCACGGCCAAUUGGGGACAUAGGGUUGUCUUCCUCGCCCAAAACUCUGUUGUAAAUCAACCCGUGCUCCUCCAACCGGCGGACGAAUUCCGGGUACUUGUCUUUCAUCUUUUGGUACACGACGUGGCUAAGAACAAUUGGGGUCUCGCCGCCGCUUCCAGGCUCCACUUCGCAGAAGAAGAACAGUUUUGAUGGGAACUCCGGAACCUGGACACAAAAAUACACCACCGAACAGAUUAAAUUAUAGUAUUCCAAGUAUGAAAAAAUACCAAUUGGACUCCCAAUUUGAAUUCCAGAGAAGGAAUUGAAGUGUAACCCGACCUGGGCCAUCUCGUGGUGGAAAGGGAUUUUCUGGUCGGGAGGGGAUUCAUUGGCGGUGAACACACGGCCGACGACGUUUGUACGAGGAGCAGCUCCGCCGACGUAGGGGAGCUCCUGGUAGCCGAAGGAUUCGACGAAUUCGUUGAAGUGGGAAGCGGAGGUGAGAGGGAAUCCCCUGAAAAGAAUCGCCCCUGACUUGAGGAGGAGAGAUUCGAGGAAAGGCUUCUCGGAUUUUACGGCGGAAGUGAGGAUAUCUAACGUAGGAGUAGGAUCACAAUUUGGAGUGAGUAUGGCUGGGAAAGAGAUUGAAUCGAAUUGUUUCUGCUGCGAGAGUGUCACCUCGCUGAAUAGGGUCGCCGCCGUUGUCAUUUCUCCGAUGGCCGAUUCUUCCGGUUCUCUCAGCCACUCAUUAUUUAUUAUAUCUUCUGAAGAAGACGACAUGAGGCCCGGUCCACAAUGCAAUCGCUAAUAAUCCGGUUUAUAUUAUGAUGCAUGACCACUGAAUGUAGACAUGAUGCUAUACAAUAUUCACAAACAAAGAAAUAUAUAAGAACAAAUCAGCAGAUAAACUAACGUGGUACGAACAAAGGGUACGUAUGCGAUCUGGUUCUUCUUGUUCAUAGAUGCAGCAUCUGUAUGUAUGAUUCAUUGAGUUCCUGAUUGUCUAUUUCAUACCAAACUUGCAAAGGUGUUGUUCGAUUUGGAUUUGAGUCAAGUUCAAUGUGAAUUUUCUUUUCUAAUCAUCCAACAUUUUUUGGAACUACUUUAUCUUUGGGAGUGGCUGACGUAGAGAAACGAGUCAAUCAAACUCUUUUUCUCGAUUUUUUGUAUCGAAAUUCCAUUCAAUUCAAAUAUGGUAUCUAUUGCUCGUUAUCGAUACUAUCAUACUGACAUCACAAAAGAAUUUCAUUAUUCAUCCUAGCUUAUAACAUGUUUAACUUACACAACGGAAGAAGUGACGUCUUGAAACAAUAUGAUAUUCACUAUUCAGAAGGCAAACAAAUUGCACCCAAAUGGGAGUCUUGUCACGAUAAUUUAUGCAUGUAAAAUUGUCUCAAAAUUGGAACCAAAAUCACAUCUCAACGAUCUUGCUGAGUAGUUUCUUUAUUUAGUGAGAUAAUUUUGUAGAGACUCCUUUGAUCGUGGUGGACUUUAGAUUUGCACUGCCAAACUCUGGAUUCAUGUUUCUUUGCAGAUAUUUUCUUCCCCAAUCGUUGUCUUGUUUCUAGAUCCUUUCAUCCUGGCCACCAUAUUAAUCAUGCUACCAUGACAUGGACAUACUGCACUCGGCUAGCUAACAACCAAAAAUGGGCCUGUUCAUAGGCAUGGAAUGUGGACAUGAAUUUGGAAAUUUACUCAUCAUGAAUUGAUGGAGUCCACUCAUCUUGUAGUGUAACAGUAGCUGUUAACUUUUGGAAAAGUCAUGAACUCAUGAGAGGACAUACGAUUUUUUUACUCAACUGAACAUCGACUGUGAAGCACUACUGGGGACGAUAACCAUUCAUGUAUAUUAUUAUUUUAUUAUGGUGAAACAAAACUAAACACCACAGUAGCCCCAACCCCCCAACCCCAAGCAACCAACAAGACUUAUCAGCUACUUGCAGAGGGAAGCAAGAAUCUUUCUGGGGGGAUCAAAGGGAUUACGAGCAUGAAGCACAGCCCUAUUAUCCAACAACAAAACAUCACCUUUCUUCCAUGGUAUAGCAACGCUCUCCUCUUCCAAUAUCCUCUCGCAAUCUCUCACCACCUCCUCCGGCAAAAACCCUCCAUCCCCGAAAGUAACCGCCUGCCUCCGAUCAUUCCUCGCGUCAUCCCAAUACAAGUAAGCAUCCACCAACAUAUUAAACCAAGUCUUCUUCUUCUUCAUCUCCCCUUGGUCGUCAAUUACCUUCACUCCAGCCAUGGGUCCCAUCACCGUCUUCGCUCCUCCAUCCUCCGUCCACUCCAACCUCGUCCCCAGCUUCUCUGCUCUUUCCUCCGCCACGAUCUUGUCGUCCGUUAAAAAGGUUGAUUUCCACCCUCGACCGAUUGUCGACGAAGGAUCAUCUUCGUCCCCUACUAUCCUCGUGUAGAUGAGACCAUGCUCCUCCAGCUUCUCCACGAAUUCGGGGUACUUGUCCUUCAUCCUCUCGUACACUACAUGGCUCAGAACCAAAGGGGUCUCUCCCCGGCUUCCAGGCUCCACCUGUUAGAAAACCGAACAAAAAACAAUAAAGGCUACCGAUCUAAUUAAGUCGCGGACGAAGGAGCUCUCUUUAAAAACAUUCGCAACGCUGUUCCAAUUGCACACAACAAAACAACAAAUUAUCAACUGGUCAUCUCUGCUAACUCAUAAUUCUCCUAAUUCUACUAACUCAAGUCGAUUUGUGUCAAUUUCGUGUGUUUUUAGAGUUAGGCGUCUUCUUAGCUCGACUAUUCUUAAUAGCAUAUGCAUGAAAACUCGCUUCUUUGUGAAGGAUUAGUAAAACGUGUUUAAGAUAAUUUAAAAAUAAAGAUAUAAACAUAAAUCGUUUUACAUUUUUUUCCACUUUAACAAAGAUUCAUAAUUUUUUUUUAGAGAUUCAUAAAAUUUUAAAAAGAACAAUAUACAAUUUCAAAUCCACCCAACCUACUAAUUCGUUGGCUCGAUUAAUUCGACGAACAAGGACCAUGUAAUUUGAAGUUAUCCGAGUUCUCCCAUGUACAAAAAUGGGCAAGCAUAAAAAUUAGACCUUUAAAGGGAGAGAAGACUUUCUAUAAAGAAGUCUUUUCUCGGACAAAAUAUUACAAAUUAUUCACAUUUUUCCAACCAUACCUCGCAAAAAAAGAAGAGCUUUGUCGGGUAGACAGGCAGUUGGGACAUCUCAUGGUGGAAGGUGAUCUUGUGCUCGGACGGAGCGUCGUUAGCCGUGUACACGCGGCCGACAACGAUGUUUCUCGGAGCCGCCCCGCGGAUGUAAGGGAGCUCCUCGAAGUCGAAAGCUUCGACGACAUGGUUGAAGUCGGACGCCGAGUCCAAGGGGAGUCCUCUGAUGAGGACGGCUCCUGAUUUCUGGAGCAGUGAUUCGAUGAAGGGCUUCUGGGAUCGGAUUGCAGCGGCCACUUGAGUGAUGGAAGAAGGUAAGAAAGUUGGGGAGACGACGGAAGGGAAAGUGAUCGAAUCGAAUUGCUUCUGCUGUGAGACUUUGAUUUCCCUGAAGGCUAUUAAUGUUUCGUCCACCGUUGCGGCAGCCAUUGUUAAUAAGAGGAGGAAAAUGUUUUUAAAUGUUUGGUGGUGAAUAUUAGUGUUUGGAUGGGGAGGGGAGUAUAUAUAGGCAAUGUGAUGGUCUUGUUUUGUUGGAAUUUAGACAUAAGACAGACUAGAUACGUGUUCUUCUACUAAAUUAAGAAUCUUCGCAAACCAAUUUUGUAGUUUGCGAAUUAGACAAACAUGAAUGGCAAUUUCCUGGUAACGUUGUUUCUUAUGGUUUAUGUUUCUUUAAUAACUUUCUAGACGUUUUCAGUUAUGUCCGGUGCUAUGGUGUUCAAUUACAGGAUUAAUGAAACCACUCGUCUACAUCACUAGUACUGGCCAACACCGGACCUCUACCAGAAUUAAUACCGAUUUUGAUACAGUUUAAAGAAUGUUAAAAGUUAUAGAAAAAUGGUAUGGAUGUUCUUUAAUUUUAUUUGGCUAUUAUUUUUAAGGUUUAAUAUGAUGAAAUCUUAAAUUUUAAUUAUUUUUAAUAUGGAUGUUAAAUAUUAGUUAAUUUGAAUUUUUUUAAUUUUUAUGUCAAAAUGGAUCAACUUCGUGUGUUGUACUAUGAAAAUUUGACUAUUUACACAAGAAAAAUUCAAAAUUUCCAAAUCGGCUAAUAUUUGACAUACAUGUUUGAAAUGACUAAAAAUCAAGUUUCACUAUGAUAACCCUUGUAAAUUAAUGACCAAAUGANNNNNNNNNNNNNNNNNNNNNNNNNNNNNNNNNNNNNNNNNNNNNNNNNNNNNNNNNNNNNNNNNNNNNNNNNNNNNNNNNNNNNGACUUACUUUCUUCAUGCAUGUGGUGGAAAAUCGCUAGAAAUCCAAGUUAAAACUUGUGUAGUCGAAAGCACAUACAUCCUUACAAAUAACAACAAUCAAAACCCUUAAAAAAUAUUUUUUAAAACUUCAUUUGACUAUUAUUUUAAACGCCUAACAUGAUGAAACCUCAAUUUUUAGUCAUUCCCAACAUGCAUGUCAAUUAUUAGCUAAUUUGAAAUUUUGAAAAUUUUUAUGUCAAAAUUGAUAAAUUUCAGUGUGUUAUAUUAUGAAAGUUUGACUAUUUUGACAAGAAAAAUUCAAAACGGCUAAUAUUUGACCUACAUGUUGAAAAUGACUAAAAAAUUUAGUUUUACUAUGAUAGCCCCAGUAAGUAAUGGCUAAAUGAAGUUAAAAAUCAAAUUUACUUGGUGUUAUGUUAAUGUUGAAAAUUUUCAAAUUGACUUACUUUUUGCGUGUUGAGUCGUCGUUAUAGGAAUUGCCCUUUGAUAACUUCGAUUAUACACAAUUCUAUGUGAAUCAAAUCAUUUUACCAUACAUUUCAAUACGUACAAACAGUAAUCAAACACACGAGUCUGUAUGUUCAAGCAGCUCCGCAACGGAGCGCAGACAAACAACCUAGUUUAUAUGAAUUCGGGAUGAGGAAUGGAGAGACUUGAAACUCUCUCUCUCCUUUUAAUUUCAUUCGCUAUAAAUACACAGAGCCAGGCAAAAAUAUAUAUGAAAUCAGUGCUCGGUACAAAAAGCGGGGUCGCCCAGCCUCUCUAGAUUUUGCAUGGCGGUUUUUAUUAUUGUAUAAAUAAAAAUAUUGGCCUUAGAAUUCAAAAUAUCAGAAUAAAUUCAUCUUAUUACCAUCGAGCUCGUAACACUAACAAAUGAAUGCAGGCAGAAAUUUGAAAAAAUAUGAAAUGAGUUCAAAUUUAAAAAAUCUGGUUAAUUAGGGCAAAACCACAAUAACUAGCAAUAAGGUCGUUAGAGGUAGUAGGACUACUUACUUUUUUAAUCGAACCGUAGCCAUAGAAGAAACAAGUGAAGCUUCUACCUUCACUUUUUCUCUCGAAAGAUAUUUUUAACUACUAAUCAUUCGGAAAUCUCUCGUUUUACAGUAACGAUUACUUUGAUAUUUUAUUUUCAGUGCCACAUGAGCUGACACAUUAGCACUGGAGUUUAAUUUUUCCUUUACUUGUUAUAUAAAAAUUUCAUCAAUUUGGAUAGAAAUCACAACGAAAUUAUUUUAAAUUGCAUUUUUGUGUUUUUUUUAUAGUAUGGGUUAAAUUGGACAAUAUUUUGAUGAUUUUUUAUAGUAACAAGUAUUAGGCCUAGAGAUAAAAGAUACCCUUGAGUUCGAUGAUAGGAGCUCACCUCAAGUUUGGCUCGGCGGAACCGUAAAUUAUAAUAAUUUUUUGGGUCAAAUCGGUAAUAUCAUAUUUCAUGAAUCAAAUCCAACAUGAAGCUCUCAAGGAUUCCUAUCGAAGGUGCAGGACUCACAAACAAGGCUAACAUGGAUCGCGGGUAUUUGCAACAGCAAACACCUCAAUCAUUUCUCUGCAACAAAAGGACAUCCCAACAGGAUUCACCCGCACUAACAAGAGAAACAAUUCAAAACAAUAUCUAGCAAAAAACAUGAAAAAAAUGAAAAUAGGAACCAAAGUUCAGCCAAAACAAGAAGAAAAAAACACGAUUGAGAACGGCCACGCCUUGCCGUGUAGCUGGUGGCUAGUGAACAUAAAUUUCCCUUCCGUGAGGGUUUGUCCGACGCGACGAUGAUAUCAUCCCUUGGUCUUAAACUGCCGAUGAGGAGGUUCCAACUUUCUAGUUGUAAGUUCGAUUCGAUGCGACGGCUGGUGUAGAGAUCACGCGGGAUGUAUCGCUCGCAUGGGCAGAUACGACUGUGGAUCGACUUGUGGUCGGGAUGGAGGUUGUAUUGUUCUCGAGGUGGCUAGGAGUCAUACUGCCGGAGGGAGCCAAUGGUGAGAUGGAGUUUCCGGCAUCGAUGGUGAUGGAUGGUGUAGGAUUAGGAUUACAGCUAGGAAUUUGCAAGGAAGUCAUGAUUGGCUCUGACAAACUCUCUUACGUAAGAUAACAAUUUUAUACAAAAACGAAAAAAAUCGAGAAAAAUAAAGACGACUACGACAGCUAAGAUUUGACUCUCAUUGAAAGCUUUUCCCCACUCUCUCGUAAAUUAUAAUAUUUAUGUACAUAACAAUAAUAUAACCAUUUAAUUCCAUGAACAUUUUAUGGGCUGAGUUUUAUGGGCCGAGUCAAUGGUUAGUUGACGAGGUGGGCCAAUAUUUUACGGGAAGGUAUCCCUUUCUAAUAGAUAGAAAAGCCCAACUUCCUACGUUUAGUCGUCAUUGCAAAAUCCGAGUUUGGGCAAGAAAUGCUUGUUAUAUCCCCCGCCCGUCCAGAAAUUCAAAAUUCUUUCUUCCCCGAGGUUGAAAAGUCCAGAGAUGUCGAGAAACGAAGCUACUAGUGCCAAACCGAGUUCCACGAGAAGGCCAUUACGAGAGCUAUCGAAUAUCCACAGCAGCUUCGGCGCCGGAGGCGGUGACAGUGUCACCUGUGUCGGAAACAGAGGAGUUCCGGUCUGCAAGUCGAUGGUGGUAAAAAAGAUCGCACCGCGAAGUUCAACUUGUAUUGAAGAAAUGAAAGAAGACGAUGACGAUUGUCUUGAUCGUCUGUUGGCCGUCCACUCCGAUCUCUCCUCCCUCACUCGCCAGGUAAGAUGAUGGUGCUGUUUAGGGCUUUUACAGAUUGAAAUUAAUUUCUAGGGCUUUGUUUGGUGAACUUUAACGGACAGUUUCUCCAAUAUUGGCGCUAGAAUCCUCCAUUUGUGUAUAUGAAUAUGGAAGUUCCUAGGCUUAGCGAUUUUCCAGUCUUCAGAAAGAGUCCACCCAGUAGUGAUGAGUUAGUGAACUUGUUUUGCAACCAUUUUAGAUUGAAUCGACAAUCGUUACUAGGGGUUUGAACUUCGAUGGAAAGAGCUUUCGCGUCUUCGUGCUGGAUUCCUCCAAUAAUUGUUAGGUUGUUACGAAUGUUAUGUCAUUUCAGUCAAUCGAAUUCAAUAAUUUACAGUGCAGAGUCAAUUUAUAAACAGAUUGACGAUCUUGUUGCGCGAACAUUCAAGCUGAAAUCUGCUGGUAAAGAUGGACGGCGAGAAAUUGAAUCGUUUUCUCAUUUUUUAUCCGAUACGCUUUCUUCUUUCAAGGUUAGUACUCUCUUAACUUGAAUUCAUAGGGAUUUUGUCUAUGCACACAUUAUUAAGUGGGAUUUCUUUGUGUAAUUAUGACAGCCUUGGGUGUCAAGAUUUGAGAAGGCACUCGCCACUCCUAGCUUGGAGAUGGAGAAUCAGGUACAAGAAACUCCGGCACAGAAACCCGCUUCUGCUGUAAACGAAGGAGGUUUGGAAAAUGGAAGUCCAGAGGAAAGCGAGAUGGACACUUUGAUCUCUCCUUCCCCUCUUGUUUCCUGGCGAAAAGAUUGCAACAUUGACAGGAGCCGGCAGUUGUUUCUCCUUACACCUCUCCCAAUGUCAAAAACAUUAUCAAUCAAACGACGGGAGUUGUCUGCAAGAGUAAUGAAAAACAUGGUUCCUGGAUCCAGAACGGAGUCGUCAUCAUUUUUGGCAAUCUCUAGAGACGACAAUGAUGAUUUGCUUGAAGGCAUGAAGAUGAACACAACUCCAAGUAAGCCUUGUGGGGAUUCUGUUGCCACAGAAGUGAAAAAUAACAAUGAGUGUGGGUUAGACUUUUCCACACCCAUGACUACUCCAAAGAGAGACCACCCUUCCAUGAUGGUUAUGACUCCGUGCUUAAAGAUGUCCCCUCCAAAAUCUUGCUUUUUGCUUGAGCCAAUAGCUGAGAUGCCUCACAAUAUCAAUUGCUGCAAUCGACAAUCGACUCCGUACCCAGUUGGCAUACAUUCACAGAUGUCGGAGCCUGAAUCUUCUGGAAGUGAAGGUUACGAGGAUCUGGGGGUUAGGUACCCUGAACUACUGGGUAUUCAGUGGGCUUGCAAAUCUGGAAUGGGAAACAAAGAUUUGGAGAAGUCACCAGACUGGAACUUUUCUCCUCCAAAAACUUGUGUUCUGUUGCAACCUUCUGAUGAGAAUUCAAUGGUUGAUGUCCAUGCCAUUGACGUCAACUUCCCACCAAACCAAGUGCAAAAAGAUGAUGCUCAAGUCCAAAGACCUCUCCAUCAAGGUGACCAUAGUUUCUUACUGUUAGAUCUUCUCAAUCUCAAUUUAAAGCAUCAUGAUUGUAAUAGUUUGAAGAAUUGUUUCCUUGUGAACAGAGCCUGCAGGCAGUAACUUUGAGAAAGUGGUAAGCACUCCCGCAUGGAAAGAUGUUGAAAGCACAGUAAGAAGAGGAGGUAAGAAUCCCGGAGAGAACACUCUGAAAAGGGAGCUGUGGACUAAGUUCGAAGCACUCACCACUUGUGGAGUUGGAUUGAAUGCCUCUGCAAUAGUAGGUAGCUCAGGGAAAGGAUUUAUGGAUAUGCUUGAUGAAGUUUCCCGUGAAGAGCAAACCAGAGUGGAUACAAGUUGAAGAUGAGAUGACAUUCUCCUUCUCAUACGGUUGGUUGGAUUUUGGAACCAUUCAAAGCCUUAAGUGUGUAACUGAUUAGUAGAGGGAAAAUGGGUAUUGGGGACUGGGUACAGGGCAGUCGAGCUGAAAAUCCACCCACACCCCUGCAGUUUAACGUGAGAAUACUAGUUUGCUCAUUCGCGCUCUGCUUUGGAGCUGAUUGAACAUAUCGAUUCGUAUGUUUUAUUAAUGUUUGUACGUGUUAAAAUGUAUCGUAAAACAAUUUAGUUUCCACAGAAUUGUGUAUCAUCGAAGCUAACAAAACGCAAUUCAUGUAACGAUAGCUCAACAUGCAGAGCCAAUUUGAAAAUUAUUGAACAAUGACAUAACACGAAAUAAAAUUGAUUUUUGAUGUCAUUUGACUAUUAUUUAUAGGGGUUGUAAUAAUAAAAUUUGAUUUUUUGAUCAUUUUCAACAUACAUGCAUGUCAAAUAUUAAUCGAUUUGAAAAUUUUAAAUUUUUCUUGUAAAAAUGAUCAAAUUCCAUAGUAUAUAACACACGAAAAUUGACAAAUUCUAACAAAAAAAUAAAAAAUGCUCAAAUUAAUUAAUAUUUAAUAUAUAAAUUGAAAAUAGUUAAAAAUUGAGAUUUAAUCAUAACUAAAUAAAAUAAUAAUAAUUUUGAUCAAUGUUGUCAAAUCCGGCACGGCCGGACAGCCCGCCAAAACAGUAGCCCGUUACACAAAGCGGGCCGGGAAGUCCACAAACCCAGAAAAGCAUGACCCGCGGGCGGCACCGGGUUUCUGUCACAAAAUCCGUUCGGCCCGUCCAAAAACCCAUUGAGAACCGGCCCAAAAUCCGUUCGGUAAAGAAAAUUUGACCGGUUAAAUUAGAGAAUGAAAAAUAACGGAAAUCAAUUAAAUGCACACAUUUUUACUUCUUUUCAACUUCUACCUCUUGGAAAAUGAAGUAAUAAUUUAUUCAUUCAAUCUUCCUUUAAUCCUCUCAUUCUCCUGAUUUCGUGUAGAGUCUGUUGACGUAUUAGUUCUACGAUGAUAUAUUUUACUACAUAGUAUUGUUCUUUUAAUUAGAGAAACUAAUUUUCUUAUAGUUUGAUAUCUAUUUUAUUUAUUUUAUAAGUACCGGGUAUAUUUAAACGGUUUAUUUUUGGUUAAUCAUUGAUUUUUCAACCUUUUUUUAUUCGGUUCGACUCAUCGAGCUUGAUUUGAAAACAUGAUUUUAAUUGUUGUUGUUAGUGGGGAUGUACGCGCUUUCAAUUGUUUUAGUUUCCACCACAUAUAAACAAAAAAUUUAGCUUCCCACCAAACACUAUUAAUUCAAUAAUAAUUUAUAUUCACUUUUUAUAAAUAAAAGUAGUCACGCCGCCACUUUAUAACAGUUAUAAUCUAAUAACUAGUCACAGCGAAUUUAUAACUAGGUAAUUCACUCUACUACAGAGGGAACAAAAAGCCAACCGCAACAUGAAAGAAAAACCCAUAAAAACGACAUGCAUCUGGCCCUUGGUGACAUAUAUUGUUGGUGCAAGUAGCUAGAACACCACGUACGUACAGCUCCUGAAUUGUCAAGUCACUUUGGGCGGCAUGCUGUCUGAGUAGGUCCGGCUUGCCUUGCCAGCUGAACAACACAGCCAACCACUUAUAUAAUUAGAGAUGAAUACUGUACAAAGAUACUAGUAGCUUGUGCGAAGAUACAUUCAUGAGCAAUCAAUCAAUAAAGGUAAAGAAGAAUCAGACCUGAAAAUAAGUCUCGAGUUUCUUCCUGAGUGUUGUAUAUUCUUUCUUCACCUGCUGGAAUGUCCUUAUGCAUCUGUAAACAAGUGGACCAUGCAUGCAUCUUAGUUAACUAUCAUAUACAAUUCGAAAACAGAGGAUGGAUGACUGCACUGCAUGGGUUUGUAAUUAACUGGACAUUAUCGGUACGUAUUAGGAAGAUGAAUAUGAACUUAUGCAUAUGAAGUUAUUCUUUCACCUUUUGUUUCCAAAAAUAGGUAUGCGAAAAUAUCAAAAGGAGAAAGAAUAAAUAGUAUGGAGGAUGUGCAAAAGGCAGAGUAUCGGUAUUGCGCCCAGUUGGUUAAAUUAAUGUGAAAAUCUUAACAAAAGAUGACGUACCCUUCUCCAUUUCCUGCUCUGCAAUAUUCCCUAAACACAGCGCACUCUGCUUUCACCCUGUUGGCUCCAAUGCUGCCCAAUUCAACAAAUUAAUUAAGACUCAGUAAUUAAGAUUUUAUUGUCCAACAGCCACCAGUAGGCAGUAGCAAACAAUAUUGUCAAUUACCUGGAGCUGCUUCCUUUGAACUGAUGCAUGCAGGUAUCCAGCUUGUUGAAAUCAAGGGGUCUUUUCUCCAGAAGUUGCUCAAUGCCGAACACAAGUCUGGCCGAAUCUCUGUAAUACAAUGUCACAACUUCCUCCACGAAAUUUGGGUUAGCAUCGUCCUUCAGUUCUUCCAGCUGGGCCAACUGUUCUUCAUCAAGAUAUCCCUGCUCAAAUAGAGACUGCUUCAUCAUGGCGACUUGCCUGUGUGACUGGCUUCUGUCCAUUUUCUGGAAAUAUAAGCUAAUUAGAGGAUUCAACAAAAGUAAUGGACGAUCGAGUCACUGAUGAGUUAUAACAUGAUGAGGGGGUGGGUGGGGCUAUAUAUAGUAGUGGGGGAAAGGAUGAGAGACUGUAAUGUUAAUGCAAAGUAUGUAAGUGUAUGUAGUGUGAAAGUGAAAGAAGUAAUAAUACAAUGAUGCAUGGAAACCAAUAUUGCAUAAUUUGAGAGAGACAGAAAUGACAUUUCACUAGAUGUGAUGUGGGUAUUAGGAGGAGGUGGAAUUCUGAUUCUGCCCUCCAAAAAGGUAGAGAGCAAACCAAAACAAGAAUCUAAUGUGGUACGUCUUUUUUUAAGUUUAUGUCAAAUCUCAAACAAUACCGAGUUUUUUUUCUAAAAUGAUUUGUAAAAGUGGUUAGGAUUGGAGAAUUGAGGUAAUUGUCGAGUUGUUGAUUUAAAUCGUGUAUUCGAGUUCUCUUUUAUAGGCGCUUCAUCGUAAGACGUAUGGAAAGAGUUAGUAAGAGGAUGUUUACGAGGGAGUCAAAGCAUGUGAGAGAUUAUAUCAGAGACAAAGAAGUAUUGGAGGUGCCUAUAACGUAUGGACAUAAUGCAGAUAAACUAGAGAGAGUGUCGAGACUUUAGACAUAUAGAUAUCCAAUUUUCUUAUAUAGCCCCUUGGAAAUAGAGUCGAGUUGCAACAUGUCGUAAAGCUAAUUAAUUCAUUGCGUAGAAAUGGAGAAUCGAAGCCACAUAAAAAUAGGAUAUGAUAUGAUGGAAGAGUGACCAAAAGUGGAAUCAAUCAAAGUAAUUGUACGGACAAAGGCUUAAUAUUAAACAUCAUCACCCAUCCAUCAAUUUCUCUAGAAACUAAGCUAUAAUGUUUUGUAACAAAAGGUAUAUACUACAUAAUAUUUAAUGGAAGGUGCUUGGGAGAAUGGACAUUUUUUUUCACUAUAAAGACAAAUGUAUUUUAUAAUUUAGAGGAGUCAAAUCACUUAACCAACUGUUCCACAACCUCACACAAAACAAAACGUUUAUCCACAAUCCAUAUGUUCUCUUCAAAAAAAAAUUUAGUAUAUCAUAGCAAAAUAAAUAGUAGAUCGAUAAUGAAUUAUAAUUAUAAAUCUAUUGUUGUUUCGCCCCCUAAGUUUGUGCCGAUAUUAAAUAAUAAGCGCGCUUCGAGGCCAUCUUCAAAAAGAAACUAAGUAUAUAAAAUUAGUGGAUAUGCUUUAUAUGAGAAAAAUUGUAAUAAGAUGAUUUCUUCCCUGGAAAUACAGGAAGAACAAAGAGCAAAAAGACAAGUGAGGGCUUGCCAAAAAUAGAAGGUGCGAAUGGCAAGUCACUAAUAAAAGAAGGAAACUAUGAAAGAAAUAUAAUAAUAAUAAUAAUAAAAAUAAAAGUCUAAGAAAAUAGUAAAAGAGAAUAUUAAUUCCCAGUUGUGCAGUAAUAUUAAUUGCCAUUUAAUAAAAUUGAGAACAUUAUAUUAUAUUUGAGGGCUCCCUCAUAGAGUGGCCCACGUCAGCUCGUCUGGCAUCUCUCUUACACUACUGUAAAAUUUAAGCAAAGCAGACUAGUUAUUCGAUGAGAGGAAGUGGGAUUUAUUCGAUGGUCUGCUGCAUGCAACUCAGUAAUGUGUGUUCUGGUUGCUCAAUUAGGCAAAACGUGUGUCUCUCUGUGUGUGUGUGCUGUCACAUCUUUCCUGAAACCAUGCAGUAACAAAAGCUAGCUGAUCGAUUGAUUGGUGGGAUGGGAUCAGAAUAAGAACAACAACUUUUGUGUUGUUUUCAAGACAUGGCAUCGACUAUGAUAUGAUUGAUUCUCUUCUCUAAUCAUUGCCUCCUAUCCCCCCCAAUUCCCCCACCCUGUACAGUCAUCAAUCCCCAGCAACACCAGCAAUGUCUAUACAGCGACAAAAUUAUAGAGGCAUAAUGAGCAUUGGUUGCAGGAAAUAUCGUUCGGAUUUCCCCCAAGGGAUGCAGAAGGAAAUAUCUAAUAAUAUCUGAAAACCACAUCGAUUUUUGAAAAUUGAUCGGGAAACUCUUUCAGUGUCGGAAACAAUCGUGGCUGGUGAUCAUGCGAUUGGAACUGGUUGAAUUCUCAUGCAACAAAAGUAUUUAGUCACCAUGAUCAUAUCUUGGAUCAUGUGGAUCCAAAGGUCUAGAUUGGUAUGAGUUUGAGAAAAAAUCAAUAGAAAGUAGAAGGAAAUAUCUAAUAAAUAAAAUCUGAAAAGAAGAAUAUGGUCACGUGAACUAUUGCAGGCAGCAUAUACGUAGCAACAGCAGUAGAUUGAAGAACAAGAAAGGAACAGCGGGGUUGUAAUCGAUCCCUUCUUUUCGAAGGAGAUAAGUAAUGUUAGCUUAGCUCAAGGCUCGCCACAUCAACAGUAUUAUCUGGAAGCAUUAUCAGUACUGACUGGACCAUGCUGUUCUAAAAUAAAAUAAAAAUCUAAACUUUUUGUUGUUUCCCCUCAUCAUCAAUCAAGAAUACGAAUAAAACAGAAAAAAAAUCAUCACUUGUGUAGUUGUGUGUAGCAGUACGUAGAGUUGUAAGCAGGUAAAGGCUUUAAGGGUUGCUCUUUCUCAUCAUGUGCCCUUUUCAGAUAGAUUCUCCUCCUCUCACUGCAUCAAUUCUCUCUGCUUCUACCAUACAAAGCAUUUUGAUUUGGUGCCUGAAAAGGCAAAUGCUCAAUGAUGAUCACAGAGCCAAUUAAUGUUAGCGAUAUCAAACAAAAAGAACAAAAUUAAGGGUAUUGGCACUCAUAAACAAGGGCACAAAGUAUUGACACCAUAACAUACCCCAACAUGUUAACUAAUUACAAUAAGUACGAAACUGUUGUCAAACUAUGGUGUCAAAUAAAAGUGAAGGUCAACUCUGAAGUCUACAAGUACUUAAAACGUGAAGUGCAGAGAAGAGGGUUGCAUAGGCUCCAAAAACAAGGUUCAUUAAGGGAAAGGUAAAGAAAUCAUCCAUUUAAACCCAAGUUACAGUUACAACUUACAAAGAAUAAACUUCCCAUGAAAUCACCAUUAUCUUCCUUAUCUAAGUAAAAUAAUUUUCAUAUAUAACAUGUGUGCAAGGAAGAAACAUAAUCUUUACAGCAGGGGGGGGGGGGGGGG
rnacentral:lncRNA from 1 species